GAAGGAAGGGGGCGGGCAGAGGUCCUCUGCUCCCGGGCCCGGCGGGAACAAACUGCCGCGGUGGCGGGAGCUAAGCUCGCUUGGCUGGAGGCGGGUCAUCCUUCUUCUCGCAGCUCCCGCAACCCGGUGGCUCCCUGGACCCACCACCUUCAGUGCGCUCAGUUGCUGGGACUCAAGGCUUAUGCCAGUGCAGCUGCAGCUGGUGGUGGCAGUGGCUAGAAACCUUCUCUCCUCCUCUCCCCAAGGCGGCGCCCGGGCCACCCGGGCCGAAGCGCGGAUGGAUCGCGAGUGAACCGAGCCGCCCAGACCGACGCCACGGACAAGAACCUACUGGAGGCCAAGCGGGUUCCGGCCGGCUAGAGGAGAGUGUGAUCCGGAGGAACAAACUGGAACAAACUUGGCUCCCGCAGAUGCUACUCAGAGAGGACCCAGAAACAAGUCGCUCCAUUUCAUACUGAACCCAUUUCAGCCUCUUGAGUCUGGAAGGGACAGGCUAAGGAACUGGACAGACGGCUGACUGUUGCCUCAACAGCGCCGCACAGUGGCCAAGGCUCCAGCAUAGGAGGUCUCAGUACCUGCUGUGUCCCAUAGUCCCAAACCUCUGUCACCCUUUGUUAGGUAACUUCCUUUCAGAGCCCUACUUUCCUGGUAGGCGCGAUUAAGAGCAGGGCCAGAGGACUUAAACUGCUGGGAUCCAAACUUUGGUUUCACCAGUUACCAGCUGUCUCACCUGGCUAAUUUUAACCUUUUUGCCUGUCUCUUCCUCUAAAAUAAAAUUUAAAACACCUACCUCAAGGCUGACAUGAUUGUAAGCCCUUCCAUAAGUAAGUAACUUCAGCAUUCAGAAUGCUGCGGCAAGAGGUUUGCUUCAAGUUCCAGGCCAGUCUGAGCUACAGAUGAAACUCUGACUCAGAAUUAAGUAAGUAAAUAAAAUAAGAUGAAUUUACCUUGUGACCAAUUAAAGGCAGCCAUUAAUAGGCCACUGAUUAGGUAGACUCUAGGUGCCCUAUUCUCGGGGAGAGAAGGUGGCUCCCACCUGGUAGCACCACAGUAACAUCUCUAGACAGUGUGCUGGAAUGUGUGCAUGCUUGUACACUCACACACAAACACCCAGAGGAUGAGGGAAGAGAGGGAGGGAGGGAGGGAGGGAGGGAGAGAGAGAGAGAGAGAGAGAGAGAGAGAGAGAGAGAGAGAGAGAGCUCUGAGUAAGGUUAUGAGAAGGAAAUUUGCUUAAUGUAAGCAAAAUAUGUAUAAGGGUGGGUGAACCCCUUUAUCUAACAGCAGCCUUCACGAUGAAGGCAGGGAUUUACCAAACCCCCUCUGGGACCUCUGACCAAGGGGACCCACUUAGUGUGCUGGGUCUGCAUAAACCAAGUAUCCCUGGGAAAGAGAAUAGGUCCAGCACUCAAAACAGGGACAGUAAAUUGGAUAGUCUAGUGGCCCUGGAGGUGGAAUGUUCUGGCCACCACAGCCAUACUUCAAGUUUGCUUUGCUUAAUGGAGUAACCCUCUCUCCCACAAGAUUCCACUCAGAUACUCCACACCACCAACCACAUCCUUACCCCUACCCAGCUCUCUGCUAGUGUCCCGGGAAGUAAAGAGGAGAACAGCAUUGGCAUCUUCAGAUCUGUUUCACCUUCACUUCAAAACCGGCAAACCUAUCUCCUUUAAGGCUCCACGAAAAACAGGGCCAGCCCUUGCUGCCCUUCGCUGCAUCCUACAGCCCAUUCGCUGAGACUGAAGCUCCGCUGGAAAAAGCAGUCAAGAAGCCCCGGCUUCUAUUCUUUGGGGCCAUUAGUGAGGCAUGUCCUUCAGGGAUCAUCCAAACUUAACACCAACAAGAAUGGAAAGAAAGGGCCAGGGCAGGAUAUCGCUUGCCAGGUUUUUGAGGUGUUCUACGUUAUACCCCACCCGUCCCAGAACUCUUCUCUUUACCCAAAUAACUGCUCUCCGGGACCCUCCCCUCGCCUAGGGGGAGCUGGUCUUUGCUUAAGGCCCAGCAGCCUCCGUCUGUCUCACUGCUUAGCCACCCAGCUUGAGCAGCCUGGAACAAUUGAGAAGAUGCUCCAAGGAGACGGUGUGUCUAUGCAGGGUCUUACAUCCCAAAAUGUUUUUAUAACUGGCCAGGAGUUGUGUCUAUUGUGAAGUAUGUGUGGUUCCUACUUGCUUCCAAGCCAUCUACCUCUCCAGCUUCUCUUAAGAAAGAGCCCCACAGAGAAGCCAUUUUUAUGGAUCUGGGAAAGAAAAGCUCUCCCGGGAUCAUAUGGCUAUGUUUAAGUCAGCGGCAAAACUGCUAAGGUACUGAGCUGCUGACGCAGAAGUUUGUCCCUUGACUCAGAAGAACAUAGCCUGAAGUCUUAGAAUCUGGAGCUCAAAGAGCAGCCUGGCAGGCCCCAGGCACUUCUAGGCCGUGGAAAGAGGGAGGAGCUAAGCAGAGCAUACCGUGUUCAUGCACUUUUACAAAUUCGUUUACCAACAGGCUAACCUUGGAGAAAGCUGCAGAGCCAAUGCCAGCCCCCUCCCCUGCUCCAAGAGGCCACAGCCCCGUUUUGAGAUUAAAAACAAAAAAACAACAAACAACAACAACAACAACAACAAACAAAACAAAACAAAACAAAACAAAACCACGGCUGCAGCUGCUACAACUCCCAUCUCUAAACCUGCUUUGGAAUCUAAGCUUCCCUUGGCUGGAUUUGAAGGUAGAGACUUGAUUUUGUGCCCACAAAGGUGGGCGUAAGGUGACUGGGAUUCCAGUGUGUGCACCAUCAUUUCAGCAGCCCAAGCCCAGCAGCCUCUGCUCUAUCCCACAGCUAGGAUGACACCCUUUUCCUCUGGUUUCAUCAAUGUUGGCCAAGGACCUCUCUAUUCUCAAAGUAGUGGGAGUCUUGCUUAAGCACCUACAACCUACUUGGCGGCGGCGGCGGCGGCGGCGGCAGCGGCGGUUAGGACCAGAAUAAGCUAUGGAUCCCGUUCGUGGGAAGAGGGUUGCAAGCUCAAGAGAGGAUAAAAGCAUCACCACCCCCAAACCGCGGAGCGGAAGCGCCUGCUUAACAUACCCGAAAGGCCAGGCUUCGCAAGCGCAUGCAGGAGAGCUGAAGUUCGGCAGAGUAAGUGAGGACAAUUCCAGCGCUGAAGCGAGCGCUCCAAUUCUACACUUUCCCUUGUGGAUUCUAUGGACCCUAGGUCCAAGGGUCUGUUUGUCUGUCUGAGUGUGUAUUUUUUCCUUCGCUUAACUUGCUCAGUGUGAUCAAGAAUGCCCCAGAGCGGCAGUCUUUUUACGCAUUUCCCCUACCGACCUCACUUGGUGUUCACUGGGUCCGGGUGACCUGAGACUUCCCUGGAAUGCUGUCUGUUCAAACUUAAAGUUUUCCUCUAGAACCUGCGGGAGCAGAGACCUGGUCUGGGACUGGCCGACUGACCCCAGAGGGAACGGCUGUGUGUUAGUGUGCAGAUCUAGGGCGGAGCGAUAAGAGUCUGGGAGACAGAGGAGUGUGGAAAGCUACGAAGCUGCCAUAGAACCUGGUGGGCACGGGCCACGACCUCCUUCGUACCGAUCUCACACUGAUUCUAGAAGAGCUUCGCUCUGAGAAUAGACCGCUCUUCUAAGUGUCCUAAAUUGGGGUAGGGUUAAGGGGACUGUGCCUAGCCUUAGGGACUCAGUUACCCUAUGCAUCGUCACAUUUCACUUUUCCCAAUGAUUGGUGAAGUUGUAGGUCCUCGGAUGGGCAGAGAAAUGCUGCAGAAUUCUCAGGCUCGUGGGGUACAUGCGGAGACUCUUAAACCUAGAGGAAGCUGAAUAAGGAACCAGCCAGAGCCGGGGCCAAGCUGCUCAGUUGCUGUGAGUGGAUUCCUGGAGAACAGCGACCUCUGGAGGACCGUCGCAUCCACGAAAAGCCAGGAACAACACACUUGGCUGAGUCCAAAUCGCCAUCUUUCCACCCCACUCCUACACACUUCUUUGGCACUCAUCCAGAAACUUAGGACUCCACUCUUCGCUCAUCUUGGCUGCCUUUCCCUCUGAAGCCUCCUCGGAGAAGCCUUCCCAAAGUCAAGUCCGUCCUCCCUCUCUGCAAUGAGCUUCUCAAAACCUAACAUCUGGACCCUCAACUCGUGCUCUGCUCACUACUGAGAAAUCCACCUGCUUUCUGCCCCACCCAUUUUCAAAGAGACCGUUAAUUCACUCCACACCCGCCCUUUGUGAGCCAUGCUAGGUGUGUGUGUGUGUGUGUGUGUGUGUGUGUGUGUGUGUGUGUGUGUGUGUGUUGUUGUUGUUGUUGUUUGGUUUCCCUUUCUUUCUCUCUCCCCCUCUCUCCCUCCCUCUUACCCUUCCUCUUUCCCUCCUGUCUUGGUAAAGGAACACUGAGGUCUAAAACUGGACAAUGAAUUUUUCUUUUUUUUUGAAUAGAUAAUAUGUUUAUUACUGUGAGGUAACGUGUACUUAUUAGAAUGCUAAAAAAUAAUUCCAUAUGCUCCCAAAGUGAUGUGUUUUUUCAGAGGUGAAGAGAGCAUCUAACUUUAUUUCUCUGUGGGUGAAAAAAACCCCAUAACCAGACUUUUUUAAAGCAGUGAUCUCUCUGGAGUCUAUGGACCUGCGUCCACAGCGCAUUUAGAGGCAGGUUCUUUGAACGUUUCCCUGUGGGCCUGUGAGUUGUGUUAAUUUCAGCAUCCUCAGCAAUUUUUGAUAGGUCCUGCUCCAGCGGUCUGUCACAGACUGCAUUGUGUUUUGAGUUUCCCUGUGGACUGUGGGUUUUUCAAAACUCAUUUCUCACGUGGGGAAGUGGAAACACAGAGGUGAAUGCAUUUCCUGAGAGUCGCACAGCAGAUAGGCAGUAGAAGUGGGGACUGGAGGUUUAAUACCACACUUCCCAGGGCAGUGUUCUCUUUGUCUCUCCUGAAGGAGAAGCAUGUAAUGUGUGGAAGGGGUCAUUCUGGUGGGGGCUCAGAGAGGGGGUUGGGGCGAAGAAAAUAGGAAAUGAAGAGGGAACUGGGGAGGGGCUCACUGCUCCAGGAUGGUACCAUAAAGAAAGCAGACAAGGAGGCUGUGCUGUGUCUCAGACAGAAGUAACUGUGGUGGGUGUGAGCUCCCAUUACUGAAGUAGAGACUAGACGACCCCUGAACUAGUGUCUUAGUGACCUAAGGUAAAGCAGGAAGGGCUCGCUCAGGUCAUCACCUUAUCCUCCUCCUGUAACUCUCAGAAGACGAUCUCGAAGGUCUCCACUGUCUUGCUUGUAAAAUCAGAAAUUUGGGCUUUGGACUAGGACCAAAGAAAUUUCUAGCUAAUCAUCUCAGGGGCUCCUGAGAAGUUUGAAAAACUCUGUACAGAGUCAAGUUGUCUCUGGGAAAUAAAAAGAAGUGGCUAUCCAAAGAUCCAGUACGUAGGAGUGUGGUCUCCUACCAAGAGAUGAGUGGAAUUUACUUCUAUUUCCUGCUUAAGUGCCUGCACGUGGCUGUGAGGUAUGUUCAAGUUCUCCUUGUGGCACUGACUGUAAGGGCUAGAAACAAUAUAAAUGCCCAGCAGUGAGAAGAUGGGGGAGAGUAAGUAAUAGUAACAGGCCCUAGAACAGAAGAGCAUGUAGUGUGAAACAGAAUAAAGACGUCCACGCAGUAGUCUAAAAGGUGCUCCAGGGUACACUGUUAAGUGAAAAGGAUUGUGGAGCAGUAAUAACAUUUGUGUCUCCAACUGUCGUAGGUUUUGUUCAUUUGUUUGUUUCUUUUUUUUUUUUUCCGGAGCUGGGGACCGAACCCAGGGCCUUGCGCUUGCUAGGCAAGCGCUCUACCACUGAGCUAAAUCCCCAACCCCUGUUUGUUUCAUUUUUAAGACAGGGUCUUGCUAUGUGGCCUUAACUGUCUUACAGCUUGCUAUGUAGAUCAGGCUAGCCUCACAAAGAUCCACCUGCUUCUGCAUUUGGUGUGCUGAGAUUAAAGGUGUAUGCCACCAACCCUAACUGUGGUGUUUUUUUCCUUUGAGGAUAAUAUAUGUGCAUUGGUUUGUGUAUACAACCGAAAUACCUGUCAAGCACUCCCCAGCUGAGCGUCUUCCUAGCCCCAAGGAGGACUUUCCAUGAAAUGCCUUUUAAAGACAAAUGGAUAUAUUACACAUCCAGCAACAAAAUAAAACAGUUUAAAGGGA